rnacentral:rRNA from 1 species
GACGAACGCUGGCGGCGUGCUUAACACAUGCAAGUCGUACGGUAAGGCCCUUUCGGGGGUACACGAGUGGCGCACGGGUGAGUAACACGUGAGUAACCUGCCCACAACUUUGGGAUAACGCUAGGAAGCUGGUGCUAAUACUGGAUAUGUGCUCCUGCUGCAUGGUGGGGGUUGGAAAGCUCCGGCGGUUGUGGAUGGACUCGCGGCCUAUCAGCUUGUUGGUGGGGUAGUGGCCUACCAAGGCGGCGACGGGUAGCCGGCCUGAGAGGGUGACCGGCCACAUUGGGACUGAGAUACGGCCCAGACUCCUACGGGAGGCAGCAGUGGGGAAUAUUGCACAAUGGGCGCAAGCCGGAUGCAGCAACGCCGCGUGCGGGAUGACGGCCUUCGGGUUGUAAACCGCUUUCAGCAGGGACGAAGCUUUUUGUGACGGUACCUGCAGAAGAAGCACCGGCUAACUACGUG